UACGUAGGGUGCGAGCGCUGUCCGGAAUUAUUGGGCGUAAAGAGCUUGUAGGCGGUUUGUCGCGUCUGCCGUGAAAAUCCGGGGCUCAACCCCGGACUUGCGGUGGGUACGGGCAGACUAGAGUGUGGUAGGGGAGACUGGAAUUCCUGGUGUAGCGGUGAAAUGCGCAGAUAUCAGGAGGAACACCGAUGGCGAAGGCAGGUCUCUGGGCCACUACUGACGCUGAGAAGCGAAAGCAUGGGGAGCGAACAGG
rnacentral:rRNA from 1 species